CCCGGUAAUACGUAGGGGGCCAAGCGUUGUCCGGGAAUUACUGGGCGUAAAGGGCGUGUAGGCGGCCGCUUAAGUUCGGUGUGAAAGGCAUGGGCUCAACCCAUGGAAUGCAUCGAAAACUGGGUGGCUUGAGGGUGGUAGAGGAGAGCGGAAUUCCCGGUGUAGCGGUAAAAUGCGUAGAUAUCGGGAGGAACACCAGUGGCGAAGGCGGCUCUCUGGGCCACACCUGACGCUGAGGCGCGAAAGCUAGGGGAGCAAACGGGAUUAGAUACCCCGGUAGUCCUAGCCGUAAACGAUGGGUACUAGGUGUAGGAGGUAUCGACCCCUCCUGUGCCGCAGCUAACGCAAUAAGUACCCCGCCUGGGAGUACGGCCGCAAGGUUGAAACUCAAAGGAAUUGACGGGGGCCCGCACAAGCAGUGGAGCAUGUGGUUUAAUUCGACGCAACGCGCAGAACCUUACCAGGGCUUGACAUCCCCUGACUACCGUGGAAACGCGGGGUCCAUGGCUUCGGUCAUGGCAGGGUGACAGGUGGUGCAUGGUUGUCGUCAGCUCGUGUCGUGAGAUGUUGGGUUAAGUCCCGCAACGAGCGCAACCCUUAUUCUCUGUUGCCAGCAUUAAGUUGGGCACUCAGAGGAGACUGCCGGAGACGAUCCGGAGGAAGGUGGGGAUGACGUCAAAUCAUCAUGCCCCUUAUGUCCUGGGCUACACACGUGCUACAAUGGCCGGCACAAUGGGCUGCGAGGCGGCGACGCCAAGCCAAUCCCAUAAAGCCGGUCUCAGUUCGGAUCGCAGGCUGAAACCCGCCUGCGUGAAGCCGGAAUUGCUAGUAAUCGCGGAUCAGAACGCCGCGGUGAAUACGUUCCCGGGCCUUGUACACACCGCCCGUCACACCACGAAAGUUGGCAACACCCGAAGU
rnacentral:rRNA from 1 species